rnacentral:rRNA from 1 species
AUGGCGGCUGAUGGUGGGCAUGGCGGUGGGAAUCACCCAUUGCGCCGGACAUCUCCAAUGUCUGGGUUCAUGUUACGUCGCUUUGUAGAGCUCAUUGCUAGUGGAGUGAAGACGGAAAAGGGCUUUAAGGAGGUGCACCUAAACCAGGUGGCUAAGAAUUGUAGUGAUCACUUUGGUGUUUCCAUAACCGAGACCCAAGUGUACAACCACCUCCACAAGUGGCGUGCUAGGUGGGUGAAGAUAAGUAGGCUCCGAGGCAUUAGUGGGUCACUUUGGGAUGAUAACAACUAUGUCAUAUUGCUGGAGAAAGAGCACUACAUGGGCCAUAUCAAGGACCAUCCCAAAGAUGUUGAGUACCUCAAUGUGCCUUUAGAGAAUUAUGUUCAGAUGCUUUCUAUCUUGGGAAGUGGUAUUGCUAUAGGAAGGUAUGCAAUGACAUCUAAUGAGGCUCUUGGGGUUCCUUCAAUGGUGGGAACCUCCUCAUCAUUUGUAAACCUUGAAGCUUGUGGUUCUGAAUUUGUUGUGGAUGGGAAUGAACCUAGCUUGAGUGCUACUGCUGCUGCUCAUGGGGAAACUGCUGCUGCUCCUCAUCAGAAGCAACCAUGUAAGGAUGCGUCUAGCUCCACUGGCAAAAGGAAGAGGGCUAGCUUGAUGAGUGAAGAAGAAGUCUUGGUCAUGAGCAACAUGUCUGAAGCAGUCCGUGAAGUUGCUAUUGCUAUCAAAGUGACCGGAGAGGCACAUCCUGAACUUUAUGAUGCUGUUAUGGAGCUCCCUGGUUUUACCGAGGAUGAUCUGUUAAUUUUCUUGGACUAUCUCAAUGAGAAUGCCAACAGGGCUAGGAGCCACUCAUUCGUGCAGAUGUCGGAGACUCGUCGCACUCAUUGGGUCAUGCACCACCUCUCCAAGGUCAACGGUGGAGUGCCCAUGCCCAAGCAAGGACUACCCAAGGAUGGAAUGCCUGUCACCAGCGAUGAAGUGCCCAAGGGUGGAGUGUGA